AUUUAUAUCAAUAUUUGGGUUAUAUUUAUUUAUUUGGGUUAUUUUGUGCAACUCAUGCGUUGAGUUAAAAUCCAUCAACCCAACAUACAUCGGUUGACCCAGCACGUGGGUUGUUUGUGCUUCGAACGUCAUCACAUCGUCACGGGAGUCAAGAGUCCACACACCGAGUGCUCGUCACAGCAGAAAGCCUGACUGAUCAUCCAGCGAGGCAAAUGAAUAAUAAAAGAUCAAUGGACAGCUUUGUCAUUAACACUUUGACAGAGUGGCAGCUGACAGACCUUGUCGACAAAUUUAAAGAUUGCACAGGACAGUCUUGUCCUGCAAGGGGAUGCUGCAUCAAAAUUGUUUGAAACUUGGCUACCCAUUUAUGCUGAGAAGAUCCUGUGCCUGGCACCUGGAUGGAUAAACACCAGAUGGUGUUGGGGAUCUCGCCCUGAGGCAGCUGCCAACCUUGCUUCCACCUACAACUUACAAAGUUGGCCGUGGCCGCAGUGUGAAAGUGGUUCGCCACACCAUUCAGGAAUGCAGCUUGGCCUUCAUCGACCGUAAGCCUCCAGGAAUAAACAUGGUGGAGUAGCUCAAUGAGGCCAAGGCAUUCAAACCAUACCCCCCACAUCCUGACGCUGGGAAAUGAUCAGAGGGCAUUUCAGAAUUUGUUCAAGACAGUUGACUGUUGGCAUGUUGAAUGUUCAGCCAGUUCAUUCAUAAUUGUUGUUUUGCUAUGAAUGUUUUCCUAUCUAGUGAUAUUAACUGCACCAGUUACACUAUUGUUGAUAUUAAUGAAUGUAAUACAAUAAAAAAAUUCUGAGAUUCCA